CAGCAGCCGCGGGAAUACGGAGGAUCCAAGCGUUAUCCGGAAUCAUUGGGUUUAAAGGGUCCGUAGGCGGUCUUGUAAGUCAGUGGUGAAAGCCCAUCGCUCAACGGUGGAACGGCCAUUGAUACUGCAGGACUUGAAUUAUUGGGAAGUAACUAGAAUAUGUAGUGUAGCGGUGAAAUGCUUAGAGAUUACAUGGAAUACCAAUUGCGAAGGCAAGUUACUACCAAUUGAUUGACGCUGAUGGACGAAAGCGUGGGUAGCGAACAGGAUUAGAUACCGCGUAGUCCCUGUCUCUUAUACA
rnacentral:rRNA from 1 species